rnacentral:rRNA from 1 species
UACGGAGGGUGCAAGCGUUGUCCGGAAUCACUGGGCGUAAAGGGCGCGUAGGCGGCUCAUGAAGGCUGUGGUGAAAGUCCGGGGCUCAACCUCGGAUCGGCCGUGGCGACUCGUGGGCUGGAGCACUGUAGAGGCGGGUGGAAUUCCGGGUGUAGCGGUGGAAUGCGUAGAGAUCCGGAAGAACACCAGUGGCGAAGGCGGGUCUCUGGGCCGUAACUGACGCUGAGGAGCGAAAGCAUGGGGAGCGAACAGG